GCGCCCUUAGCUCAAUAGGAUAGAGCGCUUGGCUACGGACUAAGAGGUUGUGGAUUCGAUUUCUGCAGGGCGCGCCA
rnacentral:tRNA from 1 species